GUCGAACGUGAAGCCACCUUCGGGUGGUGGAAAGUGGCAGACGGGUGAGUAACGCGUGGGAACGUGCCUUUCGGUUCGGAAUAACCCAGGGAAACUUGGGCUAAUACCGGAUACGCCCUUCGGGGGAAAGAUUCAUCGCCGAAAGAUCGGCCCGCGUCGGAUUAGCUAGUUGGUAGGGUAAUGGCCUACCAAGGCGACGAUCCGUAGCUGGUCUGAGAGGAUGACCAGCCACACUGGGACUGAGACACGGCCCAGACUCCUACGGGAGGCAGCAGUGGGGAAUAUUGGACAAUGGGCGAAAGCCUGAUCCAGCCAUGCCGCGUGGGUGAAGAAGGCCUUAGGGUUGUAAACCCCUUUCAGCGGGGAAGAUAAUGACGGUACCCGCAGAAGAAGCCCCGGCUAACUCCGUGCCAGCNGCCGCGGUAAUACGGAGGGGGCUAGCGUUGUUCGGAAUUACUGGGCGUAAAGCGCGCGUAGGCGGACCUGCAAGUCGGGGGUGAAAGCCCGAGGCUCAACCUCGGAACUGCCUUCGAUACUGCGGGUCUCGAGUCCGGAGAGGUGAGUGGAAUUCCUAGUGUAGAGGUGAAAUUCGUAGAUAUUAGGAAGAACACCAGUGGCGAAGGCGGCUCACUGGCCCGGUACUGACGCUGAGGCGCGAAAGCGUGGGGAGCCAAACAGGAUUAGAUACCCUGGUAGUCCACGCCGUAAACUAUGGGUGCUAGCCGUCGGUCGGCAUGCCGGUCGGUGGCGCACCAAACGCAUUAAGCACCCCGCCAGGGGAGUACGGUCGCAAGAUUAAAACUCAAAGGAAUUGACGGGG
rnacentral:rRNA from 1 species